GAUGAACGCUGGCUACAGGCUUAACACAUGCAAGUCGAGGGGAAACGACGGGGAAGCUUGCUUCCCCGGGCGUCGACCGGCGCACGGGUGAGUAACGCGUAUCCAACCUGCCUCUGACUGAGGGAUAACCCGUCGAAAGUCGGCCCAAUACCUCAUGGCAUCGUCUGCGGGCAUCCAACGAGGAUUAAACAUUUCAUCGGUCAGAGACGGGGUUGCUUCUGUUUGGCUUGUUGGCGGGUUACCGGCCCACCAAGGCGGCGAUCAGUAGGGGUUGUGAGAGGAAGGUCCCCCACAUUGGAACUGAGACACGGUCCAAACUCCUACGGGAGGCAGCAGUGAGGAAUAUUGGUCAAUGGGCGAGAGCCUGAACCAGCCAAGUAGCGUGCAGGAUGACGGCCCUAUGGGUUGUAAACUGCUUUUAUGCGAGGAUAAAGUGAGGGACGUGUCCUUCAUUGCAGGUACCGCAUGAAUAAGGACCGGCUAAUUCCGUG
rnacentral:rRNA from 1 species